rnacentral:misc_RNA from 1 species
GGAAGUAAAAAGUCGUAACAAGGUUUCCGUAGGUGAACCUGCGGAAGGAUCAUUACAGAGUUCAUGCCCGAAAGGGUAGACCUCCCACCCUUGUGUAUUAUUACUUUGUUGCUUUGGCGAGCUGCCUUUGGGCCUCGGGCUUUCAAGCUUGAGCACGCUCGCCAGAGGAUACUAAAACUCUUUUUAUUAAUGUCGUCUGAGUACUAUAUAAUAGUUAAAACUUUCAACAACGGAUCUCUUGGUUCUG